rnacentral:lncRNA from 1 species
GAAAAACUGCAGGAUGAUGAACACCGCGCAAUAUUCAGGACAGUUCAGCUGUUGAUAAUGUUUUGCAACCAAGGAGCAAGAUAUUAGCCCACUUGUGGGUGUGUACAGAGGUGUCAGAAAGAAGCUUCCACUUGGGGACAGAAGAGCCAAAAAAAAGAAGAAAAGAAGAAGGAGAAGAAAAAGAAAAAGAGUGCUCCCCUGACCAGUGAAGAGUGGAACGGGCAGCUCUCCCAGGUCCUGCUGGCCCAGGCUUGGGGCCUGAAGUGUAUGCCCUGCCUGCCCACUCAAGAGGUAAUUAAGAGCUGAUUGC